rfam:Triticum urartu cultivar G1812 contig706849, whole genome shotgun sequence.
AUAGUACUCCCUCCGUUCGGAAUUACUUGUCGAAGAAAUGAAUGUAUCUAGAUGUAUUUUAGUUGUAGAUACAUAUAUUUUUGUGACAAGUAAUUCCAAACGAAGGAAGUACCAA